rnacentral:sRNA from 1 species
GUACAGUGCCAGACUGACAAUGCUUCAGUUCUCUACUCAUGGAAUAAGUAUAGCACAGGCAGCAGCAAUGUAAGUUUCUCCAACUAGUCCUGUCAUUGUGCAUGUCCUGACCUGGAAGAGCCUCUUUCAGGAAUGAGAGCAUAGUUCAGUCUCCAUGUCUAGUCCUUGGCGGCU